UGAUGUUGAAAAAUCAGCGGAUGAGUUGUGGUUAGGGGUGAAAUGCCAAUCGAAUUCGGAGCUAGCUGGUUCUCCCCGAAAUGCGUUUUGGCGCAGCGGUAGAUGUUAUAGUUUAGGGGUAAAGCACUGUUACGUAUGCGGGCUGGUAAUUCGGUACCAAAUCGUUGCAAACUAAGAAUACUAAGUGUACAGUCUACCAGUAAGACUGUGGGGGAUAAGCUCCAUUGUCAAGAGGGAAACAGCCCAGAGCACCAGUUAAGGCCCUUAAAUAAUUACUAAGUGAUAAAGGAGGUGGGAGUGCAUAAACAAUCAGGAGGUUUGCUUAGAAGCAGCAAUCCUUUAAAGAGUGCGUAAUAGCUCACUGAUCGAGUAAACCUGCGCCGAAAAUGAACGGGACUAAGUAAUUUGCCGAAACUGUGCGAUAUAUAAAAAUAUAUCGGUAGGGGAGCGUUCUGUUGUAGGUCGAAGUAUUAGCGUAAGCGGAUAUGGACGAAGCAGAAGUGAGAAUGUCGGCUUGAGUAACGAAAAUAUAGGUGAGAAUCCUAUACCCCGAAAACCCAAGGUUUCCUCCGGAAGGCUCGUCCGCGGAGGGUAAGUCAGGACCUAAGGCGAGGCUGAAAAGCGUAGUCGAUGGACAACGGGUUAAUAUUCCCGUACCAUUUUUUAUUGACAACGAGGGACGGAGAAGGCUAAGCUAGCCGGAUAUUGGUUACCGGUUUAAACGUUCGAGAUGUUGAGAAGCGGCGAAAACGCUUUGAGUUGAGACGUGAGUACGAGACGCUAAGGCGUCGAAGUAGUGUAUGUCAUACUUCCAAGAAAAGCUUGCACUGUCAUAAAUAAAAAAUGCCUGUACCAUAACCGACACAGGUGGGUAGGUAGAGUAUACUAAGGGGCGCGAGAUAACUCUCUCUAAGGAACUCGGCAAAAUAACUCCGUAACUUCGGGAGAAGGAGUGCCUUAUUCGUAAGGCUGCAAUAACAAGAUCCAAGCAACUGUUUAUCAAAAACACAGGUCUCCGCUAAGUCGUAAGACGAUGUAUGGGGGCUGACGCCUGCCCAGUGCCAGAAGGUUAAAGAAGUUGGUUAGCAUUUGCGAAGCUGAUGACUGAAGCCCUGGUGAACGGCGGCCGUAACAAUAACGGUCCUAAGGUAGCGAAAUUCCUUGUCGGGUAAGUUCCGACCCGCACGAAAGGCGUAAUGAUUUGGAUACUGUCUCGGAGAGGGGCUCGGUGAAAUAGACUUGUCUGUGAAGAUGCGGACUACCUGCACCUGGACAGAAAGACCCUAUGAAGCUUUACUGUAACUUGAGAUUGAAUUUGGGCUUUAUUUGCGCAGGAUAGGUGGGAGGCUUUGAUGGUAUUUUUGCGGAAAUAUCGGAGCCAUUGGUGAGAUACCACUCUUGUAAAGCUAGAAUUCUAACCUUAUACCGUAAUCCGGUUAAGGAACAGUCUCUGGUGGGCAGUUUGACUGGGGCGGUCGCCUCCCAAAAGGUAACGGAGGCGCACAAAGGUUUCCUCAGAUCGGUCAGAAAUCGAUCGUAGAGCGUAAAGGCAUAAGGAAGCUUGACUGCGAGACCUACAAGUCGAGCAGAGACGAAAGUCGGUCUUAGUGAUCUGACGGUUCCGAGUGGAAGGGCCGUCACUCAACGGAUAAAAGUUACUCUAAGGAUAACAGGCUGAUCUCCCCCAAGAGUUCACAUCGACGGGGAGGUUUGGCACCUCGAUGUCGGCUCAUCGCAUCCUGGGGCGGUAGUACGUCCCAAGGGUUGGGCUGUUCGCCCAUGAAAGCGGUACGCGAGCUGGGUUCAGAACGUCGUGAGACAGUUCGGUCCAUAUCCGGUGUAGGCGUUAGAAUAUUGAGAGGAGCCUUCUUUAGUACGAGAGGACCGAGAAGGACAUACCUAUGGUGUACCAGUUAUCGUGCCAACGGUAAACGCUGGGUAGCUAAGUAUGGAGUGGAUAACCGCUGAAAGCAUCUAAGUGGGAAGCCCACCUCAAGAUGAGUAUUCCCAUGGGGUAACCCAGUAAGGUCACGGGAAGAACACCCGUUGAUAGGCUCUACGUCGAAGUCCAGUAAUGGAUGCAGCGGAGGAGUACUAAUAGACCGAGGGC
rnacentral:rRNA from 1 species